AGUUGUGGUAGUUUCUUUCUGGCACAUUUGUUAAGUUUUCAAAUGGGUCUGACUCUACCACAUACAUUGUAAGGAGCUAGCAAAGCUUUAAAGACUGAAAUGCCUCUCGAGCUUUUUUGUAUGAGACAUUGGCUCUCACAAUC
ensembl:snoRNA small nucleolar RNA SNORA12